rnacentral:sRNA from 1 species
AUUUGAUCCUUGAUAUUGCAUCUAUCACAGAGGAAAACACUCACAUACCGGGAGAGCUUAGGGUGGCCACUAACAGAGAAUUGCUUUGCUUGGAAGAGAAGCAGGAGAGACCAAGAGCUCCAUAUAAAGCAGGUGCAGUAGUAUCACUGCUGGUGGGACCCAGCAGAACAGCAGUAGGGCAGCAGCUGUGCGAACCUGUGAAAACCACAGAUGUCAGCUGGACCUAUAUGGCACCAUGAGAGCAAAACUGAAGGACAGGUAGAAACUGUCAUGGCAUGCUAUGUGGUGAUAGAUGCAUGGGGAGAAGCUACUGUGCCCACAGAAGGAGUGUGGAGGGCUGCAUUGUCCAGCUGAGCAUUGAGGGGCACCUAGUGGAACAGUGUGCAUACCAAGAGAGUAAAGCCCAUGGAACUGCCAGAAAUACUUGAGGAGACUUUGCCAGAAGCUGAAAUUUCUGCAUGAGAAGAUGGGCCCCAGAGCUAGGUCAUCUGUGUGAUUCCUCUGAGAUGCCCUUUGGGAUAACUUGCUCCAUUGGCUGGCUGAGGAGCUCUCAGAAGAAAAUGCUGAGUCUCUUUCCUCAACUCUCCCUCUGCGCCGUAGCACCAUUCAGCUCAUCAAACUCAAGAACCCUGAUGAUCUCACAGAACAGAUCCACGAGUUUCUUUGCUUCUGGAAAAAAUCGCUUCCAACUUUCACCGACAAACUUCGCCUCCUGGCUCGACAUCUCCGCAAGAUUGGCAGGAGUGAUCUUGCGGAAGAGCUCAAAUUCAAGUGGGAAAAUAAAGUGUUCACUGAACCACAGCAGUGUUUUGACGUAGCCCCUGAGUAAAAGCCUGAUCACUCUUCCUUUACCCCUAGGAAAAGGCACAUGAUGGGUUUUUAAGAUUGUUUCUGUUAACAUUUUCCUGGCAGUUUCCGAGUGAUAUUAUUUGAAGUCAGUCUAUUUAAUGAUGUGCUAUGGGGAAAUCAGAUGAGACAAAGGGAGAAGCACGGAUCAGACAAUAGAAAGCAUUCCUGGGUGUGAGCGCUCCUCUUUCGUUGAGUGAUUAUGUUUUGCAACCAUGACUGUCUUGAGUUUGGCCUCACUUAAUAGCAUUUGCAAUUGAGUUUGACUUGUUCACAUUUUAAAAGCUAAGUGUGAAGAAAAGAUCUGAUAUAUGUAAUUACCUAUUAAUUGCUAUCUACAUAAAAUUAAACUAGUUUUCUAUGACUUCAAGUGUGAGCCCAAAAAUAUCUGAGACAGUUCUCAAUCAAUUUAGAAAGAUUAUUUUGCCAAGGUUAAGGACAGGCCCAUAACACAGCCUCAGAAGAUCCUGAUGACAUAUGCCCAAAGUGUUUGGGGUAGGGCUUGCUUUUAUGCAUUUUAGAGAGUUAUAAUGUAUCAAUCAAUACAUGUAAGACGUACAUUGGCUCAAUCUGGAAAGGUAUGACAACUCAAAGGAGGGGCUUCCAGAUCAUAGGUAGAUUUAAAGAUUCUUGAUUGGCAUUGAUUGAAACAGUUAUUAUCUAAAGACCUGGAAUCAAUAGGAAGGCAAUGCCUGGGUUAUGAUAAGAAGUUAUGGAGACCAAAGUUUUAUAAUGCAGAUGAAGCCUCCAGGUAGCAGACUUUAGAGGGAAUAGAUUGUAAAUAUUUCUUACCAGUCCUAACGUCUGUUGAUGUUUAUGCUGGUCAGCUUUUCCUGAAUUCCAAAAGAGAGGAGUGUAUCAUGGAGUCAUGUCCAACCUCUCCUUCCCAUCAUGGCCUAAACUAGUUUUUCAGGAUAACUUUGAAAUGUCCUUGGCUGAGAGAAGGGGCUUGUUCAUAUAGUUGGGGGACUUAGAAUUUUAUUUUUGGUCAACUCAGGCAACCAAUUCAAGUUACAUAGAUACCAUAGAGCCUAGAGUAAACAAUACAAAAUAAAUUGGGCUGAAAGACUUGGUGUCGGUGGUAGUAAUUCACUUUAAAAAAACUUUUCUAAGCUCAAAAUAAAUUAAAAAUAGAAUAACACUUCAGCCAUUUACUGCCACAAACUUUUCCUUUAUAAAAAUAUAACUUGGAAGAGGGGAAAUUCCAUAUUUUGUUAUUAGCGAAAUGAGGCAGUGCAGAGAAAAUAAGUUAUCAGUGAAAGAAUUCAAGGCCUAUUUCUUCUACUUAGGAAGAAAACCUGCUUUAAAAUUAGUUAACAGAAGCCUUAUCACAUAAGCCCUACAUAUACAUCAUUAAAAACAAAGAAAACAUCUGUAAAUAGAACAUUAAAGUGAAAGAAAAAAUUAAAACUUAUCUAAACCCCUCUUUCUAUUGAUAAUCGCUGUUAAUGUCUAGUAUAAGCUUUGAGUUUCUGGAAAGCCUAAAGCCCUUUAGCUCUCUGAAGCAGUUUGAUAUAAAUGGGACAUUGAACUAGUUUCACUGACUCAUUAAUGCAAAAACCAUUAGGUCGUUGGCUUGAAAACAUUGGUAGCAAUUAGUUUCAGUUAUUGAAUACCUAGGAAUUAAUUAAGUUAUAUUACAAAAUUAAAUGUUUUAAUGGCUCUCAAAUUUAAACGCAAGAUUUCCUUCUACAAAUUAACCAGGGAUUUAGAUAGCUAUUCAGUUAUAUACUGAAAAAGGCAAUUCCAAUUUUCAAACAUAGUCCCAUAAAGGAAUAUUUCAUUAAUCAAGAUUUUUUUACAUGUUGCCAAAAAGGUACAAUAUACAUUUUCAUGUAUUCUUGGAGCAAAGAAAACAGACUGAAAUGUUCAUUGUUUUCCUGAUUACAAUCGAACAAAAAAGUAAAUGAAAGUUGCUUCUUA